rnacentral:rRNA from 1 species
AUGGCGCGAAGCAUGGACAUGGUGCCGCUGCUGCUUCUGUGCAUGGCCGCGGCCAUGGAGGGCGCGGCGGCGCUGCACCUGUGCGUGGACCGGCUGUACGACAGCACGCAGGGCAAGCACGACGACGGCCUGCCCCACCUGAACCCGACGGAGGAGGCGACCUGGAUGGCGCUCCUGCCGCGCAAGCUCGGCGCCAAGGCCGAGUUCGACUGGCUCGCGCUCUACCGGAGCCUCACGCGCGGCGCCGGCGGCGCCCCUGCGGAGUUCCUCUCCCAGGCGUCCCUGCACGACGUCCGCCUCGCCCCCGGCUCCAUGUACUGGCAGGGCCAGCAGACCAACCUCGAGUACCUCCUCUACCUCGACCCCGACCGCCUCACCUGGAGCUUCCGCCAGCAGGCCGGCCUGCCCACCGUCGGCGAGCCCUACGGCGGGUGGGAGGCGCCCGACGGCCACCUCCGCGGCCAUUUCGUAGGGCACUACCUGAGCGCGAGCGCGCACAUGUGGGCGAGCACGCACAACGACACCCUGAGGGAGAAGAUGGCCAGGGUGGUGGACAUCCUCGACGACUGCCAGAGGAAGAUGGGCACGGGGUACCUUUCGGCUUACCCCGACGAGGUGUUCGACAUGUACGAGGAGCUCUCCGAGGCCUGGUCGCCCUACUACACCAUCCACAAGAUCAUGCAAGGCCUUCUGGAUCAGUACACGUUGGCUUCGAAUCGAAAGGGCCUUGACAUGGUGGUGUGGAUGACGGAUUACUUCAGCGAGCGUGUGAAGAACCUGAUACAGACGCACUCGAUCCAGAGGCACUGGGAGGCGAUGAACGAGGAGACCGGCGGAUUGAACGAUGUCAUGUAUCAACUGUAUACCCUGACGAAAGAGCAGAAGCACCUAACGAUGGCCCAUCUUUUCGACAAACCGUGCUUCCUCGGCCCCCUCAGCCUUCAUGAUGAUGAUAUAGCGGGGUUGCAUGUUAACACUCACAUUCCUGUCCUAGUCGGUGCGCAAAAGAGAUAUGAAGUCGUCGGUGACCAUCUUUACAAGGACAUUGCAACAUUCUUCUUUGACGUUGUAAACUCCUCCCACAUAUUUGCAACAGGAGGCACAUCUACCUCGGAACACUGGCACGACCCGAAGCGACUAGUAGACGAGAUCAAAAUCAGCUCCAACGAGGAGACUUGCACCACCUACGACUUGCUUAAGGUGUCCCGAAACCUGUUCAGGUGGACGAAGGAAGUCAAGUAUGCCGAUCACUACGAGAGGCUGCUCAUCAAUGGGAUCAUGGGCAACCAGAGGGGAACGCAGCCUGGUGUCAUGAUCUACUUCCUUCCCAUGGGUCCUGGGCGAUCCAAGAGCAUCAGCGGCGGGCACCCUUCCGGCCUUCCCCCCAAGAACCCCGGGGGGUGGGGAGGUCCAAAUGACACCUUCUGGUGCUGCUACGGGACAGGGAUAGAAUCGUUCUCAAAGUUGGGGGACACCAUAUACUUCCUGGAGGAGGGUGAAGUGCCGGGGCUCUACAUCGCGCAGCACAUACCGAGCACCUUCGACUGGAAAGCAGCAGGCCUCACCGUGGUGCAGCAGGCCAAGCCACUGCUGUCGACGGAUCCUUACUUUGAAGUCACAAUCUCCAUUUCUGCCAAGGGAGAUGCCCAGCCAGCAAAGGUGAGCGUGAGGAUCCCUUCAUGGACAUCCACAGCUGACGCAAUGGCAACUCUGAAUGGCAAAAAACUCAACCUGACAUCUGCAGGUGAUUUCCUCACGUUGACAAAACUCUGGGGCGAUGAUACCUUAGUGCUCCAAUUUCCCAUUAACUUGAGAACCGAGGCAAUCAAAGAUGACCGGCCGGAGUAUGCGUCCAUCCAGGCGGUGCUGUUCGGGCCGCACCUCCUCGCCGGCCUGACACACGGCAACAAGGCCAUUAACGCGACCGAGCACUCCAACGACGGCCUGACCCCGGGCAUGUGGGAGGUGGACGCCAGGAACGCCACCUCCACGGCCGACUGGAUCGCCGCGCUCCCUCAUGAGGCGAUCAACUCGCAGCUCGUCACCCUGACGCAGCGGUCCGGCGCGCAGACCUUCGUCCUGUCGGUGUCGGCCACCGACGGCACGCUGACAAUGGAGCGUAUGCCCGUCGCCGGCAGCGACGCGUGCGUGCGCGCCACGAUCGUGGUCGACACGUACGUGGUGGACAGCACCGCCGCUGAGCACGGCGCCGCCGCUCCUGUUCUGCAUGGGCCGAACGUGACGAUCGCGCCGUUCGACAGGCCGGGCAUGGCGAUCACCAACGGCUUCGAGGUCAAGCUGCAUCCAGGGCCGGAGGCCCUGUUCAACGCCGUGCCCGGGCUGGACGGGCUCCCCGGCUCGGUGUCCCUGGAGCUCGGCACCAGGCCAGGGUGCUUCGUGAGGGCGCCCGCGGGCUACAGCGCCGGCGACAAGGCCCAGGUCGGCUGCCGGACGAGCAGCGGCGGCGGCGACGACGCGGCGUUCCGGAAGGCGGCGAGCUUCACGCAGGCGGCGCCGCUGCGCCUGUACCACCCGCUGAGCUUCGUGGCCAAGGGCACGGAGAGGAGCUUCGUGCUGGAGCCGCUGCGGAGCCUCCAGGACGAGUUCUACACCGUCUACUUCAACCUGGUCACCGCCGCCGCCGACAGCUGA